GUAGGAUGGGUGAUCGCCGGUUCAUUCAUGAAUCGGAGGAAAGUCCGGGCUCCUCCGAGCAAGGGUGCUGGGUAACACCCAGGCUUUAAUGCAUCGGUUACCGAUGUUUGAAGACGGACAGUGCCACAGAAAAUAUACCGCCUGUUUUAAAACAGGUAAGGGUGAAAUGGUGCGGUAAGAGCGCACCAGCAGUCGGGUAACCGGCUGGCUAGGUAAACCCCGCCUGGAGCAAGGCCAAAUAGAGGGAUUAUGGGAGCUCGGCCCGUCCCUGGGUAGGCUGCAAGAUCUUGUUGGUAACAACAAGACUAGAUAGAUGAUCACCACUUCCGGAAAGGCAACUUUCCGAAGAACAGGACCCGGCUUAUAAUCCUACCUGA
rnacentral:RNase_P_RNA from 1 species